AACCCAUGGCACAAGGAGGUUCCCAGGUUAGGGGUCGAAUCAGAGCUAUAGCCAUGGGCCUACACCACAGCCAUAGCAAUGCGGGAUCCAAGUCACAUCUGAGACCUACACCAGAGCUCAUGGCAACGCCGGAUCCUUAACCCAAUGAGCGAGGCCGGGGAUCAAACCUGCGGUCCUCAUGGAUGCUAGUGAGAUUCAUUUCUUCUGAGCCACAACGGGAACACCCUCUUUUUAAAAUUAUUAUUAUAGUUGAUUUGCAAUGUUCUGUCAAUUUCUGCUGUACAGCAAAGUGCCCCAGUUAUAUAAAUAUAUACAUUUCUCCCUCACAUUAUCCUUCAUCAUGUUCCAUCAAAAAAGAUUUGAUAUAGUUCCCUGUGCUGUACAGUAGGACCUCACUGCUUGCCCACUCCAAACGCAGUAGUUUGCAUCUACUAACCCCAAACUCCCAGUCCAUCCCACUCCCUCCCCCUCCGCCUUGGCAGAGAAGGCCUCCAGCAAACUGGAAAGUGAAAUCCUGCUCUCAAGGCAACUGCUACCCAAAUUACGGUGCAAUCUGUUCGGUUCCCACAAACACCUUUUCCUUGACAAAAUAUUUACCAUGUGAAGUCUUUUCUUACUCAACAGCCACUGGCCUGUCUUGUUUUUGGACACAUAUUAUUUCUGAGUCACUCUGACUCUUUUGCCUCACCGGUGAGAGGAGCACUGGGGUAUCUCCAGGUUCUGUGUAAUGAAUACAAGGUUUACAGAGACGUAAGCCUUGCAUCUCCUUCAUCCCCCACAUAGCUGUGCUCAAACAAAAUGUGUAAUUCUGUUGCCAAAUAACCUGUCAAAAUAUGUAGAAGACAGUGUGAGACAUAAGCAGUUAAAUGUUACCAAAUAUCAUGAAGAAUUUGCAGUCAAUGACAGGAUUCCAGUGGUUUUGUUUUACUUAAAAAUCAAUGGCUGUAGAAGUUCAGAGCAAUGCAGUAAGCUUAUUUUAAGCAGCAACUGAACUGUAGCUACAUUGUGCAGUAGUCGUCACCGGUUGGAAUAAUGUCCUGGGCCCCCACAGGCCCAUUAAUGUCCACUGGACAGGCAACCAAACAACUUAAACUACUGUGUAAGAAUUACUUUUGCUGAUCUACGAUUAUGAAAACAUUAAUUUGCUUUCCAAAGAAAUAUCUUUACAUAUGGCUACACUGUCAGCUGAUUUGAUUCUCUGUUCUUAUAAACGAGUGAUAUGUGCUUUGCUCUUUAUUUUUCUAUUUCUCUAGCAUAUUCUAUCUACCUACCAAUGUAUUUAUCUAUUUAUCCAUUUACUUCUUCACUCCUAAACGCAUCUGAUGAUUCUUGAGAAAAUAAAAUUAAACUGAUACAGCAAUUAUAUUGUUAAAAAAUAGAGAAAGAAUGAUAAAAAACACAUUUUUUCCCAGAAAAGAAGUUAUUAAAAUAAAUGUGUGUCAUGAAAUCUAUAUUAUAGCUGAAGAUCAUGGUCAUUCACUAAAGUUACAUGUUUGGCAGGAUAAUAUUAUACUAUUAUAAUUAUAUUUAAAAGCUUUUCUCCUACAGAGCUCUAUUAAAACUCCUCGUGAUUUCUUACAACUUUAUCACUGACUUGGUGAUUUAAUGACAUGUGGGCACUUUGAAUAGAAUCCCAUGACUUCUGAUGAUGUUUAUACACCUACUGAGAUUGCAUCAAGAGCACAAUAUAUGAGAAUGUGAAAUAUUUUUGCAGCACAGUGCUAUGCCUUAUUGUUAAAUUACAUCUAGUUUUCUACAAAUAUCCUUUAUACUGGGCAGCCCAGGCUAUUAGAAUAUUCAGAGAUUAUAUAGAACACAUAGGUAUUCUGCAUUUCUGCUUUCAGAUAGGAAGCAGAUUUUAUUACAUGAGAGGCAUACAGGUCCUUGCUAUUUCUUGGUUGAAAAAGGCCAGGUUGGUUAAGAAAGAGAUCAUAACUUGGAUAAAAGCUUGAAAAACCCCCUUUCACAAGAGUACACACAAGCACAUCCCCCGAGACUAUGUUCUUAUACCUCCAACUGUGUUUGGUACCGCAUCUCACCCUCAGUGACGGAGUUUGGUCCCAGCAGGGCAACAGCUAGCAUGCAGGGCUUGGUGUGGGGGUGGGAGGGGGCUGGCAAUGACAAAGUCCUAGGGAAAAGCCUCUUGCCCUGAACUCUUCUUCCACUUGGUGUCUAAUGUGAGAUAUUCUCCCAAGGCCUUUAAAUCUACAGUUAAAACUAAGGGUGAAAGUACAAAAUGGCCCAGAGGAAGCAUUAGGUACUUGCAAUUCACAUAGAGAGGCAAACGGCCCUUGAGAACAGGGAGCCUCUCUUGGGAGGCAGGGGGCGAAGGAGCAAAGAGUCGAGCUUUUAGAGUCAAGCGUGAGGACCGACAGUCCCCCUUGCCACUUCUGUUUGGUAUCUCUCUGUCCAGUUUUCAGCUUCCUUGUCUGUCAAAUAGUGGUAAUAAUACUAGGGCUUUUUAGAAGCUCAAGGAUAUGAAAACAGUUGUGAAUUCUAAGAGCUAAAUUAGUUUUAUUUAAUUCCACCAUUUCUAAUACUGAUUUGAGAGAGUUCUUCAGGAUACCAGGGUCCUACAAAAGUGGGCAAGGGAGGAGACGUCAAGAGAGGGCGGGGCAGAAAGAGACAAAUGGAGGAGCAGAGCUAUCUUUCUAGGUGGUUUCAUGUCUUCAUGAUUUUCCCCAUGUGCUUGAACUGCUAGAUUGCCACAAGAAAUUCCCCACAAGCAUUAGCAAAUGGCAACAUCUAUCAAAUGCUGACACCAGAACGCAGUAAUAUCCAGCUAUACUUGAACAGACAAAGAGCAGACAAACAAGACUAAAGGGCAGUGAGCACCAGCAUCUAUGAAAUGAUUCAGAAGUCAUCAACAUUCGAUCCCAUAAUAUCUGCAAAAUUUCCUUUCGUUAGUUUAUAGCGUGCUUCUAAUUUGGGAGCAGAGAACAUGAUCUGUGCUCUAGAGAGAAGUGGGCUUCAGUUCAGCUCAAAUUCCUAAACUGCAGCUCAGCCCAAUCCAUCCUAAUAAAAAAAGAGUGAAUAUGUUUAGGGCACAGUGCUUAGAGUUUAGCAAGACGCAAACGAUGCAUCAUAAAAGGAUAUACUGUAGGACCAAAAUAUUUUAGUGAUAUAGAACAUUAAAAGUGAAAAAUAUGAUUGCCUUAAAUAAUGCAUAGAUGUGGUUUAGAAUGAGUCGCUUUUAAAUCUUGAUUAGUUUUGAACAUAAACACUGCACUCUAAAAACCACAGGCAGUCCGUAAAAAAUUGGGGGAUAAUCUUUAAAUGUGUUGUCAAUGCCACAAUUUAUUUAAAAUUGGAAAGCACCUCUUAAUAGUGAAAAAAAAAUUAAAAAUAAGAUUGCUUUCAAUAUUACUAUUAGGAUAGUUAAACUGAAUACUUUUAUUCUACUCUAUAUAGAGAGAAUACAUUUCUUAAAAGUUAAACUCUACUAAGAUUAAUAAGAACUGACACCUAUUAUUAAAUAAUCAUAUUAUAUUUAAAGAUUUAUUGCCAGUCAAGCUCACUGAAAAGUCAACUCCAUGAGAACAGAAAAUAUAUCUUGUUCCCUGAAGAAUCCCCAUUUUAGAGAAUAUGGACUAACAAAAUACCAAAUUGUUACUGUGUGAACCAAUGCCAUGUAUUCCAUUUGUAGGUCAGACACUGGAGGAGAUCUUGGAGUCCAGGGAAAAAGUUUUCUAAUAAUUUAAUCCCAAAUAAAAAAAGCUGCAAAUAUUACAUAUUUACUAUGAUCAUAAACUACUUAAUGGUAAAAACUUUAUGGGAAAUACUUCAAAAUACUAAUAAUCAGUUGUUUAUGGGGAAAGAAAUACAAUAUUAUUUCCCACUCCCACUCAGCCACAACUUGACACUUUCCAAAUUUUCCUCAGUGAACACAGAUUAUUUUCAUCAUAAAGCAAUUUUUUUAAAAACAUCCUUUCGCUUUGCAAAAUAACUAGCUAUGUGAAUAACUGUGGGUACUGACUGUCAAAAAAAGGGCAGUUCGAAGACAUGGGAAUUGGGGUGAGGGCAGCAGAAUGGACCUUUCCGUGUUGCGCUGCAAGCAGACUGAAAUACAGCUAAUAGAAAGAGAACUUUAACCGGCUCACGGUAGCUGUCAGCUAUGCCUGUCUCAAAGGUGGUAAGUUGCCAUAGCCAAGAACAGCCUUGGGUGCUUGGCUUUCUGGAUUUGCAUCUUCCUUCUCCCUCUCCCUUGCCUUGUGAGCCUGGAGCCCACAGAUUCAGGCCUGUUUCAGUAACCUAAACUGAAGUUACUUAAAUGAUUUCAGUUUCUUCAUCUGUGAAAUGGGGGCACUAUUAGUACUUGUUUCCAAUGGGGGGAUUACUAAGUUAGUAUUUGUUAAAGCAUUUAGAAUACAGCCUGGCAACGUGUUAAAUGCUGUGCAAGGGUAAGCGCUUAUUAUGAACUAUUAUUCACUCUAUAGAAGGCACCACAACAAAACAAAGAGAUGUAUUUGUCUCCAUCUUUGUCUUUUAACUUCACCUAACCCCCUUCCUGUCUACAGCAACCCUUCCCCUCCCUUCUUCUUGUUUUGCUCAGUGCUGUGUCAGGUCUGGGACACCAAAUACUCUGCAUAGAUGGCUACCGAGUCUGUAUUCUUCCAGCAAUAUAUUUAUGAAUCACUGAAGCCCCACACGCCGAGGCCACCCACAAGUCCCAGAUGCAAUGACCUGUGAAGGUGUUAUGGUAAGAUGUGCAGAUUCUUUGCUGUAUAUAGUUUUCACUGUGUGAGUGCUCUACUCACAACUACUCAGAAUAGCAUUUCAGGUUUUUUUGGCACCAGAGUAAUAAGACACAGAAAAAUGGGCUAUUGCCUCAGAAUGUCCCAUAAAAUAAUCUUUUUUUUAAAAAAAUAUAUAUCUUCUAUAACCAAAAAUAUUCUUUUGGGUGGUAGCAGGUGGGAUUCUAGUAUCAAGAAGGCAUGGGACACCAUUUUCAAUAUGCAGACCAAUAUCGAACCCACCACAACCUGAGAUCCUGUAAGAUUUCUCAGGCUCAGAAAAGAGAGACAAUGCGUUAAUUCCCAAGUCUUUAUUAAAUCAUUUAAUAUUAAUUGCAAAGAAAGCAUGCUACUGUUCUUUGAAGUAAUACUCCAAAUUCUUAUCAAGAUGUCAGAGUUCUCCUUCUCAGUGGAAAGUCAGAGCAGAAGGGAAACACAAGCUCCUAUGCUCACAAGCUCCUUCACCUAUUCCUCCAGUGAAAUUUCUUUAUCUUUUAGUUUAAAAAGAAAUGAUGCGGGAGUUCCUGUUGUGGCCCAGUGGUAACAAACCCAACUAGUAUCCAUGAGGAUGUGGGUCCAAUCCCUGGCCUCGCUCGGUGGGUGGAGGAUCCUGCGUUGCCAUGAGCUGUGGUGUAGGUCGCAGACGAGUUCCUGCUAUGGCUUACUGGUAAUGAACCCAACUAGUAUCCAUGAGGACAUGGGUUUGAUUCCUGGCCUUGCUCAGUGGGUGAGCUGUGAUAUAGGUUGCAGAUGCAGCUCAGAUCCCACAUUGCUAUGGUUGUGGCAUAGGCUGGCAGCUGCAUCUGCGAUUCAACCCCUAGCUUGGGAACCUCCAUAUGCCACAGGCGUUGCUCAAAAAAAAGAAAAAAAAAUUAAAAAAUAAAAAAGAAGAAGAAUCCAGCCUCUGGAGUCAGACUAUAUUGGUUCAAUGCCUUGUUCUGCCAUUUUCUAGGUUCUUAAUGGUACAAUUAUUUAACUGAUCUGUCGACUAACAUUCCUCAAUUGUAAAAUUCCAUUAAGUAUUCAAAGUUACAGAUAAAGUAUGUAAGGUUACAUGCUUCAUAAGCCUGUUUUGAAGGUGGGGUGAUUUAAUAUUAAAAAUAGAACAAUACCUGGAACAUAACAAAUUCUCAAUAGAUAUGGAGUUCUGUUUUCUUUUAAGCAAAUAGUGCUCUCCAGAACUUAUUUGAAAACAUUCCUUGACAAUGUAAAAUAAUCUAUAGGGUGAUAAACUAUGAGUCCUCUGAUUGAUUUUGAACCAAUUCUGAAGCUAUUUCACUUUUAAUACAAUACACUGAAAGCAAUUUAGGCAUAUGUUCUACAAUUCCUCAGUCAGUUU
rnacentral:lncRNA from 1 species